GCCUUCUCUAAUCUGCUGUUGUCUUCUCAUCAAUUGGAUCUCUCUCAGUACUACAAAUACCUCUCACUUCAUUCCCUCAGACUUGAUCAGUCACCUCCCGAUUCACUCACUGAAACCAUCCAUUUGCGGUCAAGUCACUCUUCCUAUCAUCACACCCGGAAUUCCUUCACUAGAGCUCCCUUCUGCUGACACUCCUGAGUCUUUUCCGCGCAGCCUCUACCGAGCUUCAGCCCGACCACAAUCUCAAACGACUUUAUCUGGCGUCUGAGCACCCAGAGCACUAGCACCCAGUACUCAGUGUCGAACCUGCCAACCUCCUUGAAGACAUGCCCCGUUACACCAACCGUGUCACAUCCAAAGACAUGAACCGUCGCGGUCUCUCCAACAGGAACGAAACAAAACAAUGUGUAAACAUGACGCUUUCCAAAGAGGCACAAAAGUCCGCCAGCAUGCAGCACCAUACAAACCCAAAACACACUGCCCGCCAGCAGGCCGAGGCGGAGGAGGCUGCCCGCCAGCAGGCCGAGGCGGAGGAGGCUGCCCGCCAGCAGGCUGAGGCUGAGGAGGCUGCCCGUCAGCAGGCCGAGGCGGAGGAGGCUGCCCGUCAGCAGGCCGAGGCGGAGGAGGCUGCCCGCCAGCAGGCCGAGGCGGAGGAGGCUGCCAGGCAGCAGGCCGAGGCGGAGGAGGCUGCCCGCCAGCAGGCCGAGGCGGAGGAGGCUGCCCGCCAGCAGGCGAGGCGGAGGAGGCUGCCCGCCAGCAGGCCGAGGCGGAGGAGGCUGCCCGCCAGCAGGCUGAGGCGGAGGAGGCUGCCCGCCAGCAGGCCGAGGCGGAGGAGGCUGCCCGCCAGCAGGCCGAGGCUGAGGAGGCUGCCCGCCAGCAGGCCGAGGCUGAGGAGGCUGCCCGCCAGCAGGCGAGGCGGAGGAGGCUGCCCGCCAGCAGGCCGAGGCUGAGGAGGCUGCCCGCCAGCAGGCCGAGGCUGAGGAGGCUGCCCGCCAGCAGGCCGAGGCGGAGGAGGCUGCCCGCCAGCAGGCCGAGGCUGAGGAGGCUGCCCGCCAGCAGGCCGAGGCUGAGGAGGCUGCCCGCCAGCAGGCCGAGGCGGAGGAGGCUGCCCGCCAGCAGGCCGAGGCGGAGGAGGCUGCCCGCCAGCAGGCCGAGGCGGAGGAGGCUGCCCGCCAGCAGGCCGAGGCGGAGGAGGCUGCCCGCCAGCAGGCGAGGCUGAGGAGGCUGCCCGCCAGAGGCGGAGGCUGAGGAGGCUGCCCGCCAGCAGGCCGAGGCGGAGGAGGCUGCCCGCCAGCAGGCCGAGGCUGAGGAGGCUGCCCGCCAGCAGGCCGAGGCUGAGGAGGCUGCCCGCCAGCAGGCCGAGGCUGAGGAGGCUGCCCGCCAGCAGGCCGAGGCUGAGGAGGCUGCCCGCCAGCAGGCCGAGGCUGAGGAGGCUGCCCGCCAGCAGGCCGAGGCGGAGGAGGCUGCCCGCCAGCAGGCCGAGGCGGAGGAGGCUGCCCGCCAGCAGGCCGAGGCUGAGGAGGCUGCCCGCCAGCAGGCCGAGGCGGAGGAGGCUGCCCGCCAGCAGGCCGAGGCGUGAGGAGGCUGCCCGCCAGCAGGCCGAGGCGGAGGAGGCUGCCCGCCAGCAGGCCGAGGCGGAGGAGGCUGCCCGCCAGCAGGCCGAGGCGGAGGAGGCUGCCCGCCAGCAGGCCGAGGCGGAGGAGGCUGCCGCAGCCGAGCGACCGCCAGCAGGCCGAGGCUGAGGAGGCUGCCCGCCAGCAGGCCGAGGCUGGAGGAGGCUGCCCGCCAGCAGGCCGAGGCGGAGGAGGCUGCCCGCCAGCAGGCCGAGGCGGAGGAGGCUGCCCGCAGCAGGCGCGAGGCUGGGAGGAGGCUGCCCGCCAGCAGGCGAGGCGGAGGAGGCUGCCGCCAGCAGGCGAGGCGGAGGAGGCUGCCCGCCAGCAGGCCGAGGCGGAGGAGGCUGCCCGCCAGCAGGCCGAGGCGGAGGAGGCUGCCCGCCAGCAGGCCGAGGCGGAGGAGGCUGCCCGCCAGCAGGCCGAGGCGGAGGAGGCUGCCCGCAGCAGGCCGAGGCGGAGGAGGCUGCCCGCCAGCAGGCCGAGGCGGAGGAGGCUGCCCGCGCGAGCAGGCCCCGAGGCGGAGGAGGCUGCCCGUCAGCAGGCCGAGGCGGAGGAGGCUGCCCGCCAGCAGGCCGAGGCGGAGGAGGCUGCCCGCCAGCAGGCCGAGGCGGAGGAGGCUGCCCGCCAGCAGGCCGAGGCGGAGGAGGCUGCCCGCCAGCAGGCCGAGGCGGAGGAGGCUGCCCGCCAGCAGGCCGAGGCUGAGGAGGCUGCCCGCGCAGCAGGCCGAGGCGGAGGAGGCUGCCCGCCAGCAGGCCGAGGCGGAGGAGGCUGCCCGCCAGGCAGGCUGAGGGCGGAGGAGGCUGCCCGCCAGCAGGCCGAGGCUGAGGAGGCUGCCCGCCAGCAGGCUGAGGCGGAAGAGGCUGCCCGCCAGCAGGCCGAGGCGGAGGAGGCUGCCCGCCAGCAGGGCUCGAGGCGGAGGAGGCUGCCCGCCAGCAGGCCGAGGCGGAGGAGGCUGCCCGCCAGCAGGCCGAGGCUGAGGAGGCUGCCCGCCAGCAGGCCGAGGGCGGAGGAGGCUGCCCGCCAGCAGGCCGAGGCGGAGGAGGCUGCCCGCAGCAGGCCGAGGCGGAGGAGGCUGCCGCCGCGCCAGCGAGGACCGCAGGCUGAGGAGGCUGCCCGCCAGCAGGCCUGAGGCGGAGGAGGCUGCCCGCCAGCAGGCCGAGGCUGGAGGAGGCUGCCCGUCAGCAGGCCGAGGCUGAGGAGGCUGCCCGCCAGCAGGCCGAGGCGGAGGAGGCUGCCCGCCAGCAGGCCGAGGCGGAGGAGGCUGCCCGCCAGCAGGCCGAGGCGGGAGGAGGCUGCCCGCAGCAGGCGAGGCGGAGGAGGCUGCCCGCCAGCAGGCCGAGGCUGAGGAGGCUGCCCGCCAGCAGGCUGAGGCGGAAGAGGCUGCCCGCCAGCAGGCCGAGGCGGAGGAGGCUGCCCGCCAGCAGGCCGAGGCGGAGGAGGCUGCCCGCCAGCAGGCCGAGGCGGAGGAGGCUGCCCGCAGGCGAGCGAGGAGGCUGGAGGCAGGCCGAGGCGGAGGAGGCUGCCCGCCAGCAGGCCGAGGCGGAGGAGGCUGCCGCCAGCAGGCGAGGCGGAGGAGGCUGCCCGCCAGCAGGCCGAGGCGGAGGAGGCUGCCCGCCAGCAGGCCGAGGCGGAGGAGGCUGCCCGCCAGCAGGCCGAGGCGGAGGAGGCUGCCCGCCAGCAGGCCGAGGCGGAGGAGGCUGCCCGCCAGCAGGCUGAGGCGGAGGAGGCUGCCCGCCAGCAGGCCGAGGCGGAGGAGGCUGCCCGCCAGCAGGCCGAGGCGGAGGAGGCUGCCCGCAGCAGGCCGAGGCUGAGGAGGCUGCCCGCCAGCAGGCCGAGGCUGAGGAGGGCUGCCCGCCAGCAGGCUGAGGCGGAGGAGGCUGCCCGCCAGCAGAGGCCGAGGCGGAGGAGGCUGCCCGCCAGCAGGCUGAGGCUGGAGGAGGCUGCCCCGCCAGCAGGCUGAGGCGGAGGAGGCUGCCCGCCAGCAGGCCGAGCUGAGGAGGCUGCCCGCCAGCAGGCCGAGGCUGAGGAGG
rnacentral:misc_RNA from 1 species